UACAGAGGUCUCAAGCGUUGUUCGGAUUCAUUGGGCGUAAAGCGCGUGUAGGCGGCCGUGCAAGUCGGGUGUGAAAGCCACAGGCUCAACCUGUGAAUGCCGCUGGAAACUGUCUGGCUAGAGUCCGGGAGGGGCGAGUGGAAUUCCUGGUGUAGCGGUGAAAUGCGCAGAUAUCAGGAGGAACACCAGUGGCGAAGGCGGUGCUCUGGGCCGGAACUGACGCUGAGGAGCGAAAGCGUGGGGAGCAAACAGG
rnacentral:rRNA from 1 species